AAACUCUCUCAGCCAAAAAGAUUUAGAAAGUCGAAAACACCGAGAAAACCCCGGUACAGCUAACCGAGAGGUAAGUAUUGGUGCGAUCUAGGACUUUCGGAAGCGAAAACAGAAAGACGAACACAACGCAGAGCAGGUAAGAAUCGUAAGAAAAUGGGACAGAGAAAAAGUAGAGCGCAAAAACUAGAUAACGAGAAAAGCCCAUCGGAGGAAUCAAAACAAAUGCUAGACAUCCCUCCGGAGAGUCCUUUAGGGUGGAUGUUGAGAAAUUGGGAAAGUUGUCCCGAAAAACAAGGGAAAUCCAAGGCAAAAAUGAUUUAUUACUGUGCCGAGAUUUGGGGAGGACAGGAAUUAAGAAACUGUCUCACUUGGCCAGUAUUGGGGACAUUUGAUAAAUGGACGUGCAGGGAAUUACUCGCACACAUAGAGAAAAAGGUCUCGUCAGACGCUGAGGAGAAAGAAUAUGCCAAACUCUGGUUAAAUACCAAAGUACGGCUGUUUCCAGUGAAACAGAAAAACGAACGUAAAACAGAGACCUGGGAACCCCUGGAUCACUUACCCCCUCCGUACCGCGGGCCAGUAGAGCCUCCGGUGAUGGACCAAGUAGUACCAUCAGCACCCGAGGGUUCCAUGGGGCAACUAGCAGAAGCACGCUCCCCUCAACCACCGGGAGUAGUGCUGGAAACCCUCACUACCCCCCCACCUGCAGAAAACCCAGCCACCGCACCCUCUUUGGAGUCGGUGUUGGCGCAAGGAUGGGGCUUACCCCCUCCACAAAUCCCGGUCCGGCCACCACAGCUGGGACCACCAAAAGUAUCAGAAGGGAACCCUCUGAGUCACUUAGCUGCGGCAGACAUCCCGCCAGCAAUGAGGGGAAAACCUCCCGCAAACUCCAGUUCCCCUCCUGCAAGCAGGACUCGGUGGAAAUCAAAAAUAGGGAAUGGAGAAUGGGGAGAGACAGAAAAUGGGCAUCGAAUGUUCCCUCUCAGGGAAGUGCCAACCGCCCCCAGAAUAAUUGGAUUUGUAAACGUGCCCCUUAACUCAGGGGAUGUACGAGCAUUCAAGAAAGAAAUGGGACGGUUGCUGGAUGACCCAUUUGGAGUGGCCGAAAAAUUAGACAAUUUUCUAGGGAGUAGUAUUUACACCUACGAAGAUCUCAUGGCCAUCCUGAGAUCCCUGUUUAGCCAGGAGGAGAGAGAAAUGAUUAAGCAGG
rnacentral:lncRNA from 1 species